UGGCACAGGGGUUCCACCCGUUCCCAUCCCGAACACGGCCGUUAAGCCCUGUAGCGCCGAUGGUACUGCAUUGCGGUAGAGUAGGUCGCCGCCUCCU
rnacentral:rRNA from 1 species